GUGCCAGCAGCCGCGGUAAUACGUAGGGUGCGAGCGUUAAUCGGAAUUACUGGGCGUAAAGAGUGCGUAGGCGGUUCUUGAAGUCCGCUGUGAAAGCCCCGGGCUUAACCUGGGAAUGGCAGUGGAAACUGGAGGACUUGAAUUGAGCAGAGGGGGGUGGAAUGCCGCGUGUAGCAGUGAAAUGCGUAGAGAUGCGGCGGAACACCGAUGGCGAAGGCAGCCCCCUGGGCUUAAAUUGACGCUGAGGCACGAAAGCGUGGGGAGCAAACAGGAUUAGAUACCCUGGUAGUCC
rnacentral:rRNA from 1 species